rnacentral:rRNA from 1 species
CCUACGGGAGGCAGCAGUGAGGAAUAUUGGUCAAUGGACGAGAGUCUGAACCAGCCAAGUAGCGUGAAGGAUGACUGCCCUAUGGGUUGUAAACUUCUUUUAUAUGGGAAUAAAAUGUUCCACGUGUGGGAUUUUGUAUGUACCAUAUGAAUAAGGAUCGGCUAACUCCGUGCCAGCAGCCGCGGUAAUAAGGAGGAUACGAGCGUUAUCCGGAUUGAUUGGGGUUAAAGGGAGCGUAGGUGGAUUGUUAAGUCAGUUGUGAAAGUUUGCGGCUCAACCGUAAAAUUGCAGUUGAAACUGGCAGUCUUGAGUACAGUAGAGGUGGGCGGAAUUCGUGGUGUAGCGGUGAAAUGCUUAGAUAUCACGAAGAACUCCGAUUGCGAAGGCAGCUCACUGGACUGCAACUGACACUGAGGCUCGAAAGUGUGGGUAUCAAACAGGAUUAGAUACCCUUGUAGUC